rnacentral:rRNA from 1 species
ACGCUCGACACCUACGGGAGGCAGCAGUGGGGAAUAUUGGGCAAUGGGCGCAAGCCUGACCCAGCAACGCCGCGUGAAGGAAGAAGGCCCUCGGGUUGUAAACUUCUUUUGACAGGGACGAAACAAAUGACGGUACCUGUCGAAUAAGCCACGGCUAACUACGUACCAGCAGCCGCGGUAAUCUGAGCGGGCUGGCAAGGC